rnacentral:rRNA from 1 species
GACGAACGCUGGCGGCGUGCUUAACACGUGCAAGUCGAACGGUGAUGCUCCAGCUUGCUGGAGUGGAUCAGUGGCGAACGGGUGAGUAACACGUGAGCAACCUGCCCCAGACUCUGGAAUAAGCGCUGGAAACGGCGUCUAAUACUGGAUACGAAACUGGCCCGCAUGGGCAUGGUUUGGAAAGUUUUUCGGUUUGGGAUGGGCUCGCGGCCUAUCAGCUUGUUGGUGAGGUAAUGGCUCACCAAGGCGACGACGGGUAGCCGGCCUGAGAGGGCGACCGGCCACACUGGGACUGAGACACGGCCCAGACUCCUACGGGAGGCAGCAGUGGGGAAUAUUGCACAAUGGGCGAAAGCCUGAUGCAGCGACGCCGCGUGAGGGAUGACGGCCUUCGGGUUGUAAACCUCUUUCAACAGGGAAGAAGCGAAAGUGACGGUACCUGCAGAAGAAGCACCGGCUAACUACGUG